GACAGAGGAUGCAAGCGUUAUCCGGAAUGAUUGGGCGUAAAGCGUCUGUAGGUGGCUUUUAAGUCUGCCGUCAAAUCCCAGGGCUUAACCCUGGACAGGCGGUGGAAACUACCAAGCUGGAGUACGGUAGGGGCAGAGGGAAUUUCCGGUGGAGCGGUGAAAUGCGUAGAGAUCGGAAAGAACACCAACGGGCGAAAGCACUCUGCUGGGCCGACACUGACACUGAGAGACGAAAGCUAGGGGAGCGAAUGGG
rnacentral:rRNA from 1 species